CUCUGAGAAACACAAUACUGUUUCUGCGUCAUAACAAAGAUCUAGUUGUGCAAACUGCACAGCCAGACCAACCCAAUUAUGGUUUUCCUCUGGAUCUCUUACGCUGUGAAAGCCUUCUUGGUCUGGACCCUGCAACUGGCAGCAGAGUUCUAAACAAAAAUUACACACUGCUUGUUUCCAUGGCUCCCCUCACCAAUGAAAUCCGGCCUGUCAGCAGCGGCACCCCUCAGCAUAUUGGACCAGCUAUCCCAGAAGUCAGCUCUGUCUGGUUUAAACAGUACAUUUACGUUUAUCAUAUCACUGGACAAGGACCACCAUCCCUUUUAUUAUCCAAAGGUACAAGACCUCGAAAACUGCCAGAUAUAUUUCAGAGUUAUGAUCGAUUGCUAAUAACAUCUUGGUGUCAUGAUCCUGGAGUAGUUCCUACCUCAAAUGUGCUCACGAUGUUGAAUGAUGCUUUAACACAUUCUGCAGUUUUAAUUCAGAGGCAUGGUCUGCAUGGGAUAGGAGAAACUGUCCAUGUCCCAUUUCCAUUUGAUGAAACAGAACUACAAGGAGAGUUCACUCGUGUCAAUAUGGGUGUUCAUAAAGCAUUGCAGAUACUAAGGAACAGAGUGGACUUACAACAUCUCUGUGGAUAUGUCACCAUGUUGAAUGCUUCCAGCCAACUUGCAAAUAGAAAACUCAGUGAUGCUUCUGAUGAGAGAGGAAAACCUGAUUUGGCUUCUGGCUCAGAUGUUAAAUGGGAGUACAGAGUCAUUUGAAAUGGUCAUUGAAGAAGCAACUAUAGAUUCAGCAACAAAGCAAACCUCUGGUGCCACAACAGAAGCAGAUUGGGUUCCUCUCGAGCUGUGCUUUGGAAUUCCACUGUUCAGUUCCGAAUUAAACCGGAAAGUUUAUAGGAAAAUUGCUACACAUGGCCUUUGCAGAAAAGAGAGCCUUCAAAACCUCUUACAUUCCAGUAGAAAACUCUCUCUGCAAGUCCUUAACUUUGUUCACUCAUUCCAGGAAGGUGCUUCAACAUUGGAUAUUCACACAGAGCCCAGUUUUUCAAGUUUGCUUUCACAGUCAUCGUAUGCUGAC
rnacentral:lncRNA from 1 species